AUUGAACGCUGGCGGCAGGCCUAACACAUGCAAGUCGAGCGAGCGGCGGACGGGUGAGUAAUGUAUGGGGACUGCCCGAUAGAGGGGGAUAACUACUGGAAACGGUGGCUAAUACCGCAUACUAUCGGAUAACCCAUAUGGUAUUAGCUAGUAGGUGGGGUAAAGGCGCACCUAGGCGACGAUCCCUAGCUGGUCUGAGAGGAUGAUCAGCAACACUGGGACUGAGACACGGCCCAGACUCCUACGGAGGCAGCAGUGGGGAAUAUUGCACAAUGGUCGCAAGCCUGAUUCAGCCAGGCCGCGUGUGUGAAGAAGGCCUUAGGGUUGUAAAGUACUUUCAGCGGGGAGGCGUUACCCGCAUAGGAAGCACCGGCUAACUCCGUGCCAGCAGCCGCGGUAAUAC
rnacentral:rRNA from 1 species